ACUCCUACGGGAGGCAGCAGUGGGGAAUAUUGCACAAUGGGGGAAACCCUGAUGCAGCCAUGCCGCGUGUGUGAAGAAGGCCUUCGGGUUGUAAAGCACUUUCUAGUAGGGAGGAAGGUAGUGUAGUUAACACCUGCAUUAUUUGUACGUUACCUACAGAAGAAGCACCGGCUAACUCCGUGCCAGCAGCCGCGGUAAUACGGAGGGUGCGAGCGUUAAUCGGAAUUACGUGGGCGUAAAGCGCAUGCAGGCGGCCUGUUAAGUCAGAUGUGAAAGCCCGGGGCUUAACCUCGGAAUUGCAUUUGAAACUGGCAGGCUAGAGUCUUGUAGAGGGGUUAG
rnacentral:rRNA from 1 species